rnacentral:rRNA from 1 species
GUCUACGGCCAUGCCACCUUGAAAAUGCCCGAUUUCAUCUGAUCUCGGAAGCUGAGCAGGGUUGGGCCUGGAGAUCACCUAGGAAGACCAGGUGCUGCAGGCG